rnacentral:rRNA from 1 species
CGUAGGUGAACCUGCGGAAGGAUCAUUAUUGAAUAAACUUGGUUGGGUUGUGCUGGCUUUUCGGAGCAUGUGCACGCCUAGCGCCAUUUUUACCACCUGUGCACAUUUUGUAGAUUUGGAACAAUUCUCGGGUUUACUCGGUUUGAGGAAUGCUAUGCCAAAAGCUUAGCUUUCCUUGUGUUUCAAGUCUAUGUUUUUAUAUACCCCAUACGAAUGUAAUAGAAUGUCAUUAAUGGGCUUAUAGCCUUUAAAUUAAUACAACUUUCAACAACGGAUCUCUUGGCUCUCGCAUCGAUGAAGAACGCAGCGAAAUGCGAUAAGUAAUGUGAAUUGCAGAAUUCAGUGAAUCAUCGAAUCUUUGAACGCACCUUGCGCUCCUUGGUAUUCCGAGGAGCAUGCCUGUUUGAGUGUCAUUAAAUUCUCAACCUUUUCAGCUUUUACAAGUUGUAUUGGCUUGGAUGUGGAGGUUUUGCAGGCUUCUUAAGAAGUCAGCUCCUCUUAAAUGCAUUAGCGGAACCUUUGUGGACCAGCUUUGGUGUGAUAAUUAUCUACGCCAUGGUUGUAAAGCAGCUUUAUAUGGGGUUCAGCUUCUAACAGUCCAUUUACUUGGACAAUUUCUGACAUCUUGACCUCAAAUCAGGUAGG